rnacentral:rRNA from 1 species
CACGAAGUUAGCCGGGGCUUCUUCUCCGGUUACCGUCAUUAUCUUCACCGGUGAAAGAGCUUUACAAUCCUAAGACCGUCAUCACUCACGCGGCAUGGCUGGAUCAGGCUUGCGCCCAUUGUCCAAUAUUCCCCACUGCUGCCUCCCGUAGGAGUCUGGGCCGUGUCUCAGUCCCAGUGUGGCUGAUCAUCCUCUCAGACCAGCUAUGGAUCGUCGCCUUGGUAGGCCUUUACCCCACCAACUAGCUAAUCCAACGCGGGCUCAUCCUUUGCCGAUAAAUCUUUCCCCAAAAGGGCACAUACGGUAUUAGCACAAGUUUCCCUGAGUUAUUCCGUAGCAAAAGGUAGAUUCCCACGCGUUACUCACCCGUCUGCCGCUCCCCUUGCGGGCGCUCGACUUGCAUGUGUUAAGCCUGCCGCCAGCGUUCGUUCUGAGCCAGGAUCAAACUCU